rnacentral:rRNA from 1 species
GCGGCACGCCUAACACAUGCAAGUCGAACGCAGUAGCAAUACUGAGUGGCAAACGGGUGAGUAUAAUGUGGGAAUCUGCCUUUUGGUUUGGAAUAACACGGGGAAACUUGUGCUAAUACCGGAUAAGUCUUAACGGAGAAAGCUUUAUGCACCAUUGGAUGAGCCUGCACUUGAUUAGUUUGUUGGUGGGGUAAUGGCCUACCAAGACUGUGAUCAAUAGCUGAUUUGAGAGGAUGAUCAGCCACAUUGGGACUGAGACACGGCCCAAACUCCUACGGGAGGCAGCAGUGGGGAAUCUUGCACAAUGGAGGAAACUCUGAUGCAGCGAUGCCGCGUGAGUGAAGAAGGCCUUUGGGUUGUAAAGCUCUUUCGUCGGGGAAGA